AGAGUUUGAUCCUGGCUCAGGAUGAACGCUGGCGGCGUGCCUAACACAUGCAAGUCGAACGGAACUGUUUUGAAAGAUUUCUUCGGAAUGAAUUUGAUUUAGUUUAGUGGCGGACGGGUGAGUAACGCGUGAGUAACCUGCCUUCAAGAGGGGGAUAACAUUCUGAAAAGAAUGCUAAUACCGCAUGACAUAUCGGAAUCACAUGAUUUUGAUAUCAAAGAUUUUAUCGCUUGAAGAUGGACUCGCGUCCGAUUAGUUAGUUGGUGAGGUAACGGCUCACCAAGACCGCGAUCGGUAGCCGGACUGAGAGGUUGAACGGCCACAUUGGGACUGAGACACGGCCCAGACUCCUACGGGAGGCAGCAGUGGGGGAUAUUGCGCAAUGGGGGCAACCCUGACGCAGCAACGCCGCGUGAAGGAUGAAGGUUUUCGGAUUGUAAACUUCUUUUAUUAAGGACGAAAAUUGACGGUACUUAAUGAAUAAGCUCCGGCUAACUACGUGCCAGCAGCCGCGGU
rnacentral:rRNA from 1 species